rnacentral:lncRNA from 1 species
UUAGUUAGUUUGAAUGAUACAUUCACAUCCGCCUGUAAAAUAACAAACAUGACAUACAUACGACUACAAAAGAGACCAAAACAAAGUUAAUGACUUACCUGCGAAGCAGUUAUGCCCAAAAUUUCAUGUAAUGAUCCAGCUUCAAGAGAUUUAUUUUUAAAACUAACUUCGUUUUCAUGUAACAUUUUAAAUUCCUCAAUAGGCCAUUGUACUAGCUGCUUUUGGUUUUGAUCAAGCCAAAUGCUCCUUGGAAAUGACUGCAUACCAUCCUUUAGCAUGAGCAUCUUCAUCAGAAUCGGAUUCAUUGACCCAACCCAUCAAGAUUCUUCUGUUUUUUACGGGGUCAAAGAAUGAUUUCGACGCAUAAAACUUCCCAUAAUCAUAUCGCAAGGAGCCAAGAGUUAGUUCACUCUGAGGAACAAAGUGUUCAUUCUCCGGAUUGUAAUUACCGAUCAAGUAGUAGUCUCUUCCACAAUCGAACGCUGCCAUCUUCAACACAUGCUUUACUCUAGAGUUCAUUACAGAUGUAUCAACCCCAUUGUUGCUAUCAACGCACACCGGAAAGAAAUCAGGGCAUUCCCAUAUCCCACUGCCAGCAACUUCAUAAAGUGGUGAUUCCCACAUACUCCAGUUUACAAAAUCCUCAGAUCGAUAAAGAAACGCCAUUCCCGUCCCUUCUCUCCUACUACCG